ACGUUGUUGUUUUGCCUCGGAGUAUCAAGAUCGUUAGGAUACACGUAAUGUAAAAAUAAACUCUGAGCAAAACAAUGCCGCCGCUACAUGCAACCGUCGAACAAAGACGAAUUUGAAUUUUCCGACUCUCCUCCGACCAGUAUAAAUAAACGGACGCGAUCGCAACGAAAGGAGUUGUCGAUCAGUUAUCAACCAGUUAUCGACGAAUUAUCAGCGAUCUAAUUAACGAGUCAUUAGCGAUCCUAUUUUACGACUUCUACACUGUCUUAGUACGAGCAUCUUUGCGAACGUUAUCUGUAUACUAAUUUAUCAUUUUAAAUAUAUUCGACGGUUUCAACAACGAGCAAUCUCGUCCAUUAAGCCUCACCGGCCAACCAUCCUCUACACACAAACCUCUACAAAUUGGUAUCUCCGACGAUGCAAUCCUGCUUUUCUUUCGCACGUUUCACAAAAAAAGCUGCGACUCGACAAAGGAACUCCUGAGA